rnacentral:lncRNA from 1 species
AAUCAUAAUCCUUGAGUAGCUCCACCAUCUGCGUUGCCUCAAGUUCAAGUCUUUCUGAGUGAAAAGAUACUUUAAGCUUUUGUGAUCCGUAUAAUACUUCGCACCGCUCGCCAUAUAAGUAGUGGCGCCAUAGUUUCAAGGCGAAGACUACGGCCGCCAACUCCAAGUCAUGAGUGGGGUAAUUCCUUAUCAUAGUCCUGUCAAUUGGCGAGACGCAUACGCGAUCACUUUCCCGUCCUGCAUCAAAACACAGCCCAAUCCAUUAAAUGAAGCAAUCACUAAAAAUCAC